UACGAAGGGGACUAGCGUUGUUCGGAUUUACUGGGCGUAAAGCGCGCGUAGGCGGAUCGCUAAGUCAGGGGUGAAAUCCCAGGGCUCAACCCUGGAACUGCCUUUGAUACUGACGAUCUGGAGACCGGGAGAGGUUGGUGGAAUUCCGAGUGUAGAGGUGAAAUUCGUAGAUAUUCGGAGGAACACCAGAAGCGAAGGCGGCCAACUGGCCCGAUACUGACGCUGAGGCGCGAAAGCGUGGGGAGCAAACAGG
rnacentral:rRNA from 1 species